GCCCCUGUAGCUCAAUUGGAUAGAGCGAAUGCGUUCUAAGCAUCAGGUUGUGGGUUCGAGUCCCGCCAGGGGCG
rfam:Candidatus Woykebacteria bacterium RIFCSPHIGHO2_01_FTLL_39_12 rifcsphigho2_01_scaffold_27597, whole genome shotgun sequence.